rnacentral:lncRNA from 10 species
CUGGUCUUUACUUUAUCUUCAGGAUAGUAUUUUGAGGAAUGCUCACUGGGCUCAGUUUGUGCUUGGUUCCCAGCUGCUGCAACUAGAGGGACCUGGAGUAGACAGAAGGGACCCUCUGCUAGGAGCGGGGAGUCAGUACCAGCAGACAAUGGCUCCAUCCAGCGGGCAGAGGGAGACUGGAGAGACCAUCAAACCAGAUGAUCAUGUGGCAAGUGUUCCAGCCAGUUCCAGAUGAAGACACCACCCCCUGAAGAAGCUACCCUAUUUCCACUAGACAGAGGAGGGCGAGAAUUCCAUGAUUCCAUGAUUCCCAAUAUGUAAGGACUACACCUCAAUCAGCAUGAGGCAAUUACAGAAGAAAGACCAUUGGUCCCUCUGCCUCCCAUAAAGAUUUAUGGGGAUCACAUCUCUCAGGGAAAAAUGAGGCAGGAGAAUAGGGUCUGGAGGCAGGGAUCAUAAGGCUGAUUCACACUGACUUCCUAGAACUAAAUCAAAAGGAAAACCCCAACUUUCCACACCUAAGUAACAAAAGGACUGGAGGCUACUCCCUUUGCAAACCACCCCCUGCCGCCCUUUUUCUACAUGGUAGAUGGAAAAUUUAAAGUAUCUCUAAUUGGUUGCAGGUUGCAGAAAGCAACCAAUCAGAGGCUUGCAUAGGAGUGUAACUUUGUAACUUCAGCCUCUGAUUGGUUGCUUUUCACAACCAAUCAGACACUUGCAUAAGUGUAACCUUUGUAACUUCAGCCUCUGACUGGUUGCUUUCCUAAACCAAACAGACUAAUUGCGGGCCAUACUUCACUUACAUAGCGUGUACACCAAGUAGUAACCAAUGGGAAACCUCUAGAUGGUAUUUAAAUCCCAGAAAAUUCUGUAAUGGGGGUCUUGAGCUCCUAUGCUCCGGCCGCUCCCACCCUGUGGAGUGUACUUUGAUUUUCAAUAAAUCUCUGCUUUUGUUGCUUCAUUCUUUCCUUGUUUUGUUUGUGUGUUUUCUUCAAUUCUUUGUUCAAAACACCAAGAACCUGUACACCCUACACCAGUAACACAUGCUAUGGUCAAUAUCUACAAUUUCUGUCUCCAAGUAUGCAAGCACUACUUUGAACCGCAUACACUAACAACUUGGUGUUCUGGGUCAUUAGUUGCAAAUCGACAGGUUCUGUUUUAGUCACAAAAUCAAGUUUCAUCACCG